AGAGUUUGACCCUGGCUCAGGAUGAACGCUAGCUACAGGCUUAACACAUGCAAGUCGAGGGGAAACGACAUCGAAAGCUUGCUUUUGAUGGGCGUCGACCGGCGCACGGGUGAGUAACGCGUAUCCAACCUGCCCACCACUUGGGGAUAACCUUGCGAAAGUAAGACUAAUACCCAAUGAUAUCUCUAGAAGACAUCUGAAAGAGAUUAAAGAUUUAUCGGUGAUGGAUGGGGAUGCGUCUGAUUAGCUUGUUGGCGGGGUAACGCCACAAGGCGACGAUCAGUAGGGGUUCUGAGAGGAAGGUCCCCCANAUUGGAACUGAGACACGGUCCAAACUCCUACGGGAGGCA
rnacentral:rRNA from 1 species